rnacentral:rRNA from 1 species
ACUUUCAGUCGUGAGGAAGGUGUUAAGAUUAAUAUUCUUAGCCAUUGACGUUAGCGACAGAAGAAGCACCGGCUAACUCCGUGCCAGCAGCCGCGGUAAUACGGAGGGUGCGAGCGUUAAUCGGAAUUACUGGGCGUAAAGGGCACGCAGGCGGUUAAUUAAGUUGGAUGUGAAAUCCCCGGGCUUAACCUGGGAAUGGCAUUCAAGACUGGUUAGCUAGAGUCUUGUAGAGGGGGGUAGAAUUCCAUGUGUAGCGGUGAAAUGCGUAGAGAUGUGGAGGAAUACCGGUGGCGAAGGCGGCCCCCUGGACAGAGACUGACGCUCAUGUGCGAAAGCGUGGGGAGCAAACAGGAUUAGAUACCCUGGUAGUCCACGCUGUAAACGAUGUCGAUUUGGAGGUUGUGGUCAUGAACUGUGGCCUCCGGAGCUAACGCGUUAAAUCGACCGCCUGGGGAGUACGGCCGCAAGGUUAAAACUCAAAUGAAUUGACGGGGGCCCGCACAAGCGGUGGAGCAUGUGGUUUAAUUCGAUGCAACGCGAAGAACCUUACCUACUCUUGACAUCCAGCGAAUCCUUUA